AAGCCCCAGUCCCACAACCCCAGCGUGCCCCAAAGGGGCUCCCUUGAGCCGUGGCCAUUCCCCCUCUUACAAGAUGGCUGCCCCAAGGCAAGGUCAGGACUUCUCCAAAGCACUGGAUAAACUUAUCAGCCUUGGGAUAAGAGGAUGAGGUCAGCAUGACAGGAGAUGAAAUUAUGGCACUUACAAACUACUGAAUGAUACACACAUCUGAUUAAGCAGCCUCUUUCCAUGAAAGUAUGUUACCAUGCCAGGUUAUUUCUAAGAGAGAACCAAGUUGGAGAAACUAUCUGAGGAUAUACACUUCUGUUUAGUUUAAUCUGAUUCGCUGCCUCCGCCCUUCCUGUGCUCUUUUGGAGAACCUGCCUUGAGUGGCUGCAGAAUAAACACGGCCCCACCUUCCGGUCAAUGCAGGGAGCUACAGAGCACCAGCCUCACCUCUGUACCUGCCAAGAGUUUGGAGUUGGUCAUAAAGAGAUGGGUUUAUAAAGGUAUUCAAGAGGCCAGAUCCUAUUUGCUUCUGAUCUGUCCAGGCCAAGGGGAGCUGGACUGCCAGAUUCUUUGUGGCUAGUGGGUUUGUUGGAGACCA